GUUUUUAAAGCAGGGCACGCAGGUAGCGCUCGGUGUGCAAACGCGAAGGGGACGAACGGACACGCGGUCACUGCUGCCCGGGACAGGGAGCGAGCGCUGCCCGUGCCCGAGGCCCUGAGCAGUGUCCCCGGGUCAUCCGGCGCUCCGCGGCUGGGCAGGGGCGCCCGGCCACCACCUCCGGCCUCCUGGAGCUGCAGUGUCCCAGCUGUUCCCAGCGUUCCUGUUCCUGGCCUGCUGGCCGUGUGUCCCUGUCACCUUUCGGGACUUGCUGGUGCAGCCUGCGCAGUUUCCCGUGGAAGUAAGGAGACUUGUUAAUCCCUGAGGAAAGCCUAACGUGGCAGCCUCAGCAGCUGCACACAUCAGAAAACAGCUGCCUUCGAGAGGGACCGUGGACAGCAUGGCACAAGUGCCACCAAGGGCCUGUGAGGAGCAGGAGGCUUCCCUAAGAGGUCUCAGUGGGGGCAGCAGUGCUGGACACCGCCCAAAGUGUGAGCAAAACGGAGCAGGCCUGCAGGAAGCUGGAGCGAGCGGGGCAGUGCCCUGCGUGAGGCCAGCCUGAGGAGGGGUGGCAACGAUCUACAGGAAACCUCCUAAGAGAGUGAAGUCAUUA